AAGAGUUGAAAAACUCCAACCCCUGUGAACCUUACCUCGUCGUUGCUUCGGCGGCCGGAAGCCCACCCGGUAACGGGUCGGUCGACGCCGCCGGAGGUCAUAGACUCUAAAUUUUCCUGUAUCUCUGAGCCUGAAAAAAAAAUAAUCA
rnacentral:misc_RNA from 1 species